rnacentral:lncRNA from 1 species
GCAACCGUAAACACGCAGGGAGGGCACCCCGAGUGUCGCCGCUGAGGGCGUUUCUCUAAGCGCUUCUCUGAGACCUGCUGCUGAAGGCCCCACCCGACACCUGGCGGGGGCUGGGCUGCGGGCCUUGGGGCGGUGUCCCCUGUGAAUGUUCAGAAUUCACCUCACGUCCAGUAUGAGAUGGGAGUAUGAACAAACAGUCAUGCAGAGUGAUGAGUGCAAACAUGGACUAUAAAGCGGCCAUAGAGAAUGAACUGUGUUUGUGUUUAGAGAAGACACACUCCCCACCCCUGAACAGGCUUCUUAAAAGUACUAGAAAGGAACAGAAAUGAAUAAAAGUCGCUGGCAGAGUAGAAGACGACAUGGGAGAAGAAGCCACCAGCAGAACCCUUGGUUCAGACUCCGUGAUUCUGAAGACAGGUCUGACUCCCGGGCAGCACAGCCCGCUCACGAUUCCGGCCACGGUGAUGACGAGUCUCCGUCAACCUCGUCUGGCACAGCUGGGACCUCCUCUGUGCCAGAGCUACCUGGGUUUUACUUUGACCCUGAAAAGAAACGCUACUUCCGCUUGCUCCCUGGACAU